rnacentral:rRNA from 1 species
CUCGUAGUUGGAUUUCUGUUAAUAAUUUAUAUAAAAUAUUUUGAUGAAUAUUUAUAUAAUAUUAACAUAAUUCAUAUUACUAUUUUUUUUUUUAGAAUAUGAAAUUUUACUUUGAAAAAAUUAGGGUGCUUAAAGCAGGAUUAUGCCUUGAAUACUCCAGCAUGGAAUAAUAUUAAAGAUUUUUAUCUUUUUUAUUGGUUCUAAAAUAAAAAUAAUGAUUAAUAGGGACAGUUGGGGGCAUUUGUUUUUAACAGUCAGAGGUGAAAUUCUUAUAUUUGUUAAAGACAAACUAAUGCGAAAGCUUUCGCCAAGGAUGUCUUCAUUAAUCAAGAACAAAAGUUAGGGGAUCGAAGACGAUCAAAUACCGUCGUAUUCUUAACCAUAAACUAUGCCAA